AGCAGCCGCGGUAAUUCCAGCUCCAAUAGCGUAUAUUAAAGUUGUUGCAGUUAAAAAGCUCGUAGUUGAAUUUCGAGAUCAAAUUGUUGGUCGUGCCUUGGUACGCACUGGCAUUAUUGGUUUCUCCCUUCUGACGAAUCAUGAUGUCAUUAAUUUGGUGUCUUGGGGAAUCAGGACUGUUACUUUGAAAAAAUUAGAGUGUUUAAAGCAGGCUCACGCUUGAAUACAUUAGCAUGGAAUAAUGAAAUAGGACGUUUGAUUCUAUUUUGUUGGUUUCUAGGAUCGACGUAAUGAUUAAUAGGGAUAGUUGGGGGCAUUAGUAUUCAAUUGUCAGAGGUGAAAUUCUUGGAUUUAUUGAAGACUAACUACUGCGAAAGCAUUUGCCAAGGAUGUUUUCAUUAAUCAAGAACGAAAGUUAGGGGAUCGAAGACGAUCAGAUACUGUCGUAGUCUUAACCAUAAACUAUGUCGACUAGGGAUCGGAUGAUGUUAAUUUUUUAAUGACUCAUUCGGCGCCUUAU
rnacentral:misc_RNA from 1 species